UACGGGGGGGGCAAGCGUUGUUCGGAAUUACUGGGCGUAAAGGGCUCGUAGGUGGCCCACUAAGUCGGACGUGAAAUCCCUCGGCUUAACCGGGGAACUGCGUCUGAUACUGGAUGGCUUGAGUUCGGGAGAGGGAUGCGGAAUUCCAGGUGUAGCGGUGAAAUGCGUAGAUAUCUGGAGGAACACCUGUGGCGAAGGCGGCACCCUGGACCGACACUGACGCUGAGGAGCGAAAGCCAGGGGAGCAAACGGG
rnacentral:rRNA from 1 species